rnacentral:tRNA from 1 species
GCCUGGGUGGCUCAGUUGGUUAAGCAUCUGCCUUUGGCUCAGAUUAUGAUCUCACAGUUUGUGAGUUCGAGCCCCACAUCAGGCU